rnacentral:tRNA from 1 species
GCGGGGGCGCCCGAGCCUGGUCAAAGGGGCGGGAAUGAGGAUCCCGUGGCCGUAGGGCGUCCCGGGUUCAAAUCCCGGCCCCCGCACCA